CAAGUCCGCGACGGUUUGCCGGCUACAUAGAGCACGGCCAUGGAGACCGAGAGGAGCUCCCUUGUGGCCCGGGACUUGGAGACCGCAAAGGACAUGCAGCUGCGGGUGACCCCGUCGGAAAUGAAAUUUCUGGACGCGCUGGCAGGGAGGGUUUACCGCCUCCCACUUACCGUACACAAUCUCGGCCGAAGCAUCCAGAAAAUCCGUUUUCAGGAGCCUGUCAAGCCACAGUUCAAACUGAUUUUGACCAAUCUGGAUAAAUCACUUGCUUCUGGCCUUCAGACAACAGCUAUGGUGGAAUAUCAUCCUGAUAAGAAUGAAGACGUGUGUGACCAACUUCUUAUUUCGAUAGGAAAUAAAACAAUAGAGAUCCCUCUAAUUGGGUUGAUUCCAUCAUGUCAAUUGGCAAUUGAGCCAGAAGUUAAUUUUGGGACAUUGGUUGCCAGUAGUAAAGUGUAUUGUAAAGAGAUUAGUAUCAUUAACCAUGGCAGUGUGCCAGGUAUCUUUAAAAUAGAAUACCAGGGCCAACUACCCAUUGUCAUUUUUCCAGCCAGUGGUGUUGUGCAGCCCAAGUCAUCAGUGGUUAUUAAAGUGGAUUUCUGUGCAGACCAGCCCAUGGUUGUAAAUGAAUUGGCAAAAGUGAGUUUGCAAGAUCGUCCAGACAUAUUCUUGAAUAUCAGAGCUCAUGUGGUUGAGCAGAUUAUUGAAUUGUUAAACAUAAAUAAUGAUAAAAAGUUGGAAUGCAUAAGCUUUGGUUCUGUUUUCUUUGGAACGUCAAAGAUUGAACGUGCACUUCUGUACAAUAAUAGCCCAGAACCUGUAAACUGGGUAGCCAUAAUGCAAGAUGAUUCCAUUGGAGAAGAAUUGGGUACAAAUAUUAAACAAAGAACAGAUGUUGCUUUAAAUAAUCUCACCUACUUAAGGAAAAUAAAGAGCAUAGAUAUUACCACAAUUAUCUCCUGUGUUCCUAAUGAAGGGAGGUUACUACCUUAUCAAAAGAGUUUAAUUACAUUUUGUUUCAGCCCAAAGCUAAUCAUUGAUGGUCAAAAGAAUGAUCCUUCACAUAGGCAAGACUAUGCUGUUUAUUUGAGAUUUGAGUCUGUAGGAAGUAAAGAUGGGUUUUUGAGAGAUGAUAAUCAAAUCAUCAAAAGUGACUCAUUUCACAAAGUGGAAUUAGCCCUGACAGGCUCAGGACUUCCAGUCUUACUACAGUUUGAUCCUGGAAGGAUUCUUAAUUUUGCACCUUGUUUCAUGGGUGGACAUUCAGAGAUUCAUUGUGUUAUGCAAAAUCGAUCCAAAUCCCUUCCUCUGAUGUACCACUUUAAAAAAAUUGCACAUUUUAAAAUUGAUCCUCAAAAGGGCAAGAUUGAUGAAGGAUGUAUGCAGAAUGUGACAUGUUCAUUCAUUCCACAUCAAGUUGGAGUCUUUAAAGUGAAGCAAUUUAUAGAGAUUAUUGGCUCAGUGGCAGAUGAAAAUUUGCAGUCUUCAUCACUGAAGCCUUUCCAUUAUAUAUAUUUAUAUUUUAAUAGUGUCUGCAAGCCUUCUACCAAGAAAGUUGUGAUGAAAGUUAAUCCUGGUAUAUCCCCUUUGGUCAGUAAUCCUACGGGACAGUUUGUGGUGAAAGACUUGGUGCAGUACAAGGACCAUGCACCUGUUGCGAUGCUUCAGUCAACCAUGACACACAUUCACAAUCAUAAGAUAAAUAAAGAGUUAAUAAAGGGUGCACUGAUAGCCUUUCCCAAUGACCGAGCUGCAAGUAUCCGGUCUGGAGAAGACCAUGAAAAUUUCAGGACGAUUUUCACAAAGAUUCCAAGAUAUAACUAUGUGGAUCCUGAUUUUGCAUAUACUAAAUUUGAAAAACUAGUAAAGAAAUCUCAUGAAAACUAUUAUGCAGGAUACAUUAAAUUUUUAAGAAAUGUGCGCCUGCAGAAAGAAGCACACAGGAAGCACACAUACUCAUAUAAUGACAUAGACAUAGGAUUACAUCCUGCAUCUGGUCUAAAAUCACCCACUGUCUCAGAAGUGGAAAGGGAAGAGGAGUUACCUUCAACACAGUGUUGGAUCAAACACAACCAAUUGCUAAGAACCAGAAAUAUAGCAUUCAAGGAGACAAAGUCUCUGAGAAGAAAGGUUCUUAAAGGACUUAAAUCAGACCCAUCCACACCCCAUGAAAAACAUGAUUGCAGCUUAACUUUGACACCCAAGCAAACUUAUCAAGUAAUUGUUGGGCCCUCUGUCCUUAACUUUGGUGAUGUUUGUGUGAACUCAACAAAUACUCAUCUACUACAUGUUAUUAAUAUGCUACCAAUUCACAUUCUGAUCCAAUUAAAUGUCAAUUUGGAAGAACUUCAGAAAACCAGCCAAUUUUCAUAUGUGAUUCCACCUACAACUAGUACUUAUAUUUCAAUGAUAUUUGAAUCUCCCACCAUUGGAAAAUUUUGGAAGUCUUUCACCUUCACAGUGAACAAUAUGCCUGGUGGACACAUCCUAGUGAUGGCAGUUGUCCUGCCAGUAAGACUUCAGCUAUCUUCUAAUGAGCUGAUACUGAGACCACAAGGCUUCUUGGUGAAAACAUGUUUUAGGGGAACGGUUAGGAUGUAUAAUCAUCAGAAUUACUUUGUCAAAUUUGAAUGGCAAUCGAUAAAUACAGGAAAGGAGAUGGCAUUUUCCAUUCGUCCAGCUAAAGGCACUGUUGAACCAUACUCCUCAUUGGAAUGUGAAGUAACAUGGCAGCCAGCUUUUGAUUCUCCAGAAAGGGGAGAAUUUAUUCUUCAUGUCAGUGAAGGAAACACGCUGAAACUGAAAUGUCUUGCACAUCUUGGACACUCCAAGGUAACAUUUUUAGAGCCACGGAUACUCUUUAGCAAUAUUCCUCAAGGGCUAACAACUUGGAGGAAAGCCAUUCUUCACAAUGUAGGACAAAACCAUGCUUAUUUCAAGGUUUGUGACCAGAGUCUUUUGUCUAUGAUUAAUAUUGUUCCAUCACAAGGAAUCAUUCCACUGGGGGGACUAACUGUUCUCAAUAUCUCCUGUACUCCUACCGUUAAAGAAAAAUUUGACACAAGAGCAAAGGUUGCUAUUCGCUGUGCAAAUGACAUAGACCUUAGGAUUGGUGGAUCUGUUGAAGUUGCUGAUGUUGAAAUCCAUCCGAAUACAUUUAACUUCACUGGCACCUAUGUUGGUUCUACUCAGAUUAUGCCAUUUUUACUAAAAAACAAAGGUAUAACACGUGCCAGAGUAGAGUUUAAUCUGGAAGAUGCUGAUAGUUUUUCACUGGAUUUUAAAGGCAAAUCAGGGGAAUUCACAGACCCUGCAUUUCCUGACAUAUUUUUCUUGGAGUUAGAGAAACAGACAUCUAUGGAGUGUGGCAUUGCAUUUUCUCCCAAAGAAGUGGCAGCGUACAACUUUAGCAUUCAAGUUCGAGUUAAUUUCUUUGCAGCUUCAGAACUUGACUCUCAAUGUUGUUUGUCAGACUCUCAUGUGAUUCCAAAUAGACCACCAGUUAUUCGAUCAUGUCAUAUUCAAGCUACUGUGUUGCAAGCACCACUGACAUUAUCCAGCACUCAUUUUAUCUUUGAAAUCCCAUUACAUAGUCUGGAUCCUAAUAACAGGGUCACAAAAACUCAGAAUCUGGUCUUACAUAAUACUUCAAGAAAAGAUGUGGAGUGGAAUUUGGAUAUUAGAAAUACUGGCAAACUUUUCAAAGAUGGUAUAUUCAAAUUUAGCACACUCAGUGGAACUCUGCAACCAAAUGAAGAAUGCAAUGUUGCUGUAAAUUUCUGUCCAAAACAGCCUAGAGAAUACACAGCUGAUAUCCCUAUUCAUUUAAACGAUAAUCCAGUUUGCUAUCGAAUGUUACAUCUGGUUGGAGAGAUAAAAUCACCCAAGUUAUUAUUUGUUCCUCCUUUCGUAUUUUUCACUCCUGUUCCUUUGGAUGUACCAGCUGUGAUGGAUGUCAACAUUUUACCUCAGAACUAUUUCAGGUAAACACCUAAUGUGAAUUCACCACAUCUUCUUCAAGUACUUUUUUGUUUCUGUAUGUGUUAUACGAGUCAUGAGCAAUGUCUGACUG
ensembl:lincRNA